UGUGACACAUGAACAGUGAGUCGUGACUGCCUCAACAUCAUGCUUUGAGGGCUUGGGGCUCCCGCCCCCCAGUGUUAACCUGAAACUUUUGACAUAGCAAGUAAUAAUAGCAAUCCUUUUUGAAUAUGGGCUACUGAAAUCCCUAAAAGAAUCACCACUGUGAUGGAGCCUAUUAUCCGUAUGUCAUUGGUUGGAUCCACCAUCAUUGAAUUGCUCUCCUGGAACAACAACAAAAGUCGCCAAAAUGAUGCCUACAGACAUAAAAAUUGGUCAAUACAAUUCUAAGCCGCUAAUAUCACUGGAGAGUAAAUGUUCAUCCUUCCAGGUGGUUGGUUGCCAGUGUUACAGAAAGAUGUGUGGGGUCACAGGCACUGAAAUCACCCUGGCUCUAGCCAGAAUGCUCUCGCCUGGGUCUGUUAGGUAUGCUCCCCCACAUGAAAUGGAUGCUGCAUAAUUGUUGUUGGAAGGCUCUCUCAUUCCAGAGAUAAUCAGAACAGGAGUCUUCUAAAGGAGGCUGUGAUCUCUCUGGCCACGCCCUGGGAGAAGGAAGGACAUUCAGAAAUGGAAACAAGGCAUUGGAGGCUGCCUUUCUUGAUGUUCCAUGCUAUAUCUUGGCUCUAUAAGAAGUCUCCAGGCUCUUUUACAGUUUGAAGUGCAAUAGGAAGAGACUAACUGUAGGCAUGAGAUGCAAACUUGGACCAUAUUGCUUCAGUCCCUAAAGACUCUUCAAGUUUGGUGUUGUGAGAAACAGUUGCACUAAAUUCUUCAAAUGUAUGGCAGGGAUUCUGUGGUGACCAUCACCUCUGCCUCACCAUGUGGCCUCAGUUCUUUGCACCCCAACAGAUGAGGAAAUGAAACUCAUGGAGUAUAUAAAUGACUUGCUUCAGGUCAUACCUGUUUCAUCAUAUCCUUCUUCCAUGCUUGAUGUUUAUUAGAAACUAUCUUGCCCCAGCCAAAGUCUCCGAGUCAGAGAAGACCAAUUCAAUGGCAUUUGUGGUUUAUUCUAUCAUUUGCUUUUGGGGAAAGGACAGCCCAAACUCAUGGCCCUGGAACGACUACCCAGGGGCUGUAGCUACAGUGACUCACGGCUACAGCUUCCUUCUGGCUUUGUUCCCAGAGUCUCCUCUUGAAAAUGUAUUCAGGUUUCUUCUCCAAACUAUCCCCACAACAAAGAGAAACUACUUGUAUUUGCUUCUUUUCUUACCCAAUAAAGGGAAUCCAAAUGGGACCCAGAAGGUGACUUAAUCAACUCAUUUAGCUUUAAUUUCACAGCAAAGGCCAGUAAAACUGAGUAAGGGUGGUAAUAAGUUUCUAUGACUCACUAAAGUCUACUCCAUGAGAACUAAACAACAAACAAACCCUUGUUCAAAGGAAAAUCCACUAGACACCCAUUUAAAGUAGGGUAUGACUACUUAAAUAAAUAGGUCCUUGUUAAAACAAUACUGAUGUCUGA